rnacentral:lncRNA from 13 species
GAUGUAAUCCUCAGGGUGUUUCUUUUUGUCUUAUUGCAGAAAAAGCCUGUGGCCCUCUCUCACUGCCGUCGUGUUGAGGUCCUACAAGACCACAUCACAGAAGACAUUGAAAAUGAUGAGAUGCCCCCUGACGUGGAGAAGCCUGCGGCCAAGUAUCACCACCGUCCUGUUGAGGUUAUACAGGACCUCGUCCUAGAAGACAUAGAGGACGAUGAGAUGCCCCCUGAUGUGGAGAAGCCUGCGGCCAAGUAUCACCACCGUACGUAUUCUGUUUCUUUUAAACAGUUACUGAGACGUAGUUGACAUGCAAACCAAUUCACCCAUUUAAAGUAGGUUCCUUUCUGUAUUAACUGGUUCUUCAAAUGACGAUUUCACAUUGAUGAGGUUGCCCUAGCUAGGUAGCCAAG